AACAGCUAGAUACUCACCAGCUUAUUUGUUAUUUUAAAAUCUCCAGCCCAAAGAUUGGCCCAAUAUAAUCUUAAAAUAAUCAGCAGCUCUCCCCCCAUUUUAAGAUUUGAUACAACCCACUUCUCCACCGACCCGGUCCACCAAGGGUUUCUUUCCCCUUUAAUCAGCAACAACAGUCAAUUCCCUAAGGUACAACAGCCAAAUAUUCAACGUACAACCAAACACAACAUCGACCAACUUCAAACCCAUCGAUGCUGACCCGAAUUCGGUUCGAACCAACCCAGAUUCAACCCGAACCUAUCCUUCUUCAUGCGUUCCACGCAAUAGUACGAUGAGGAAAACCUUGAAGCUUCUAGAAAUGGUGAGGUGUAUUCCCCCAACGGAUCAAUCCCAUAAAUCUCGGGAUAAGGGUACAAUUUCGUACCCAUUUGGGGAAUUUCGAUUGGUUCUUGGGGGGAAUUGAUUUUGGAAGAAUUCUAUUGGUUCACCAAUUUUGUCUUUUUCUUGAGAGAGAAAUUCGAAAGGGAGAGUCAGCUAGAAGGGGGUUAGCUCUUUUUUUUGAAUUUUGAUUUUCCCAUCCCUAAACUACCCCCGAUUUGGUAUUCUAUAUAAGAACCAGCUGGGUAUUAUUUUCGGGGGUCUUUUUUUUUUUUAGAGAAUUAGGGUUCAGAAAAUUGGGGGUUGGGAAAAAAUUUUCGAGAGAGCUAGGUUGGGAAAAUUUUGGUUAGAAAAUUUUGAGUGGAAAAGGCAAAGGAUCCUAGAGCUAAAAGAUUUCCUUCAUAGCAAAGUUUUCUCCUUUCUUUUCCUUUUGGAAGUUAAUCAAUCAAUUCGGAAGUUCUCAAGUCAAUAAUAUCAGUUCCCAAUGGUGACGGUCCUAGCGAUUAACUCGUUGUCUUGUUUUGCUGCUCUCGAAAAGGUGCCUCACUGGCCUUAGGUUUUGCCUAUGAUAAGUGAUCUUUGAGUUGUUUAUCGAUUCAACAUUCACCGGAGGCUGCCUUAAGGAUCAGUACCUUGUGCGCUUAAAUCUGGUAUGUAUACUGUUUUAUAGGUGUUCAUCUAAUAUGGUCGUUGUUUCCGGAAUGGUUAGAUUCAAGAAUAUGUGUUUAGCUAGUUUGCAGGUUGGCUGGGCCUUGAUUAAAUUUUGAACGAUUUUGAUAUUCACGUUUGGUGUAUCUUCCAUCUUCCUGCUUAGUAAACAAAAAAAAUCUGGUGUCUUUCUCAUAUUUAAUGCUGGCAUGUGCUAGUUUAAACCCGUUUUGAUGCGUCCUUUACAUCUGUGUGUUCAUUAUGCUCGAAACUUCUAAAGUGACUUCAUAACUCUCUUUAGGUUUCUGUGAUUGAGCCUAACAGUAGCUAGGAUAAUAAUUUAGUUAUGCCGAUAUGAAAAUUUUGGACUUUGUUAGUUUAUCUUAGCAAGCUUCCUUUCUUUUUGAGAAAUGAUUUUAAUUCUUUAUAAUGUUUUGAGGCAUUGAAAGGAUUGUUUCUUUGUAAAAGACUUAAACUUUAGUGCAAUUUUCGUGUGAAUCUGUAAGUUGUUAAUGGGAAGUUCUUGCUUGUUCCUUUGUUGGAUGCCCGUUUGUCUAUACCUUCGCUUCGGUCUUUCCAAACAAGGUAAAAAUCUCGCUCAUGUCCUUUGAUUCAUAUUAUCAAUGGGAGUGGUGGGGUUAGCUCACAAAUGAUGUGCUUUAGCCUAAAUGAGUGUCAAAAGAUAAGACUUUUGUUUAAGUUUAGUGAUUUGAUUGCUUAAACGAUCCCGUCCUUCGAGUUUUAGUUCGACCGACGAAGAAUUAGUAGAAUUUUGGAGUCAUAAUAAAGCCAUCGAAUUUAGCCUAACUUCUUAAUGUUUUCAUUCUUUGUUUAUAUAAGAUUGGAUCACAUUGCUAGUUAUUUGGUCGAAUCAUUGUUGUCCUCUCCUGCGACUGAGUGUCUUCGAUUCAUUAUAGAUGGAUAUAUAUAUAUAUAUAUAUGUAUAUAAAUGUUAUGAACAACUGUUCGCAAGUGUUUGUAUAUAUUCCUUUUCUCUUUGCAAAUUAUAGUAAUCUAUGUAUGAUUAAUUAUCAAGUUAGAUAGCACAACCUUAUAUUGGGUUCAAUGGUUUAUGUUCUUUUUGCGCGUCCAGCUUGGUGUAGUAGAUUAAGACGCAUUUAGUAUUGGUGCAAUGGGCUAUGCAUGUUUGGUAUUUAAAUAGAGUACGGAUUAAUAGUUUAUUAAAAUCCUGUGCAUAUGCUAAUUUUCUCAUUUUUAUUUGCAUGCACCUGCUCCAGAGUCCAAAUGGGCUCUUUCCCCUUCUGCAUUUCACAAAUGGGCCAUUGAGGCCCAUUUCCUUUUAGAAAACCUUGGAAAGGACUAAAAAGACAGUCACAUGGUACACAGAUGCGAAGAGUCGAAUGAAGAAGGAAAAUGGGUUAAAAUCCCAUUUGAAGCGGCCAAGAGACUUGAAAGUCUCAUUUCCAUUUCAUUUAUUUAUUUAGUCAUUUAUUAUUGUUGUCUUUAUUUAUUUAGUUAUUUAUUUUUAUUCAUUCAUUUGGGCCACGAAUCCAAGGUUGUAUUUAAUACGGGUGGAGCGAGACUCAAGCUAACGACUCGAAAAACUAGACUGGGAUGGGUGAAAUGGGUCGAAAGCCCAAUUAGACUAGGACAGGUUUUGUUGGUUUGGGCCGAUGGCCUAAAUCCCUUACUUCCUCCCCGUCCCCCUAUUCUUUAUGUUUGUUUUCCUUAUGUGCUUUGCGAACCUAGUUAAAUCCUUAGUUAAGUCACUAAAAAACUAGUUUUGCAUAAACACAAAAAUAUUUCCAAAAUCGCUUUCUUUUCAAAAAAAUCAAUCAUUUUUCGACAAAAUUAAUCUUUUCAAAGUUAAUCAAAAGACGAUUUUCAAACAGUCCGGAUAACCGCAAGUUAGCGGACGUUUUACGUGCUUAACACCUUCGUAAAAUGUUAGUAGGAGCCACUUACUUAGAAUCUCUAAACUUAAAUGAUUUUCCUGUUUUGAAUCGUUUGAAGUAACUUUAUAAAGGUUUCUUAAUUCCUUUUCAGAAUUAAGUGGCAACUCUUGAUAAGUCAAAAUUUUCGCAAAACAGAAAUGGCGACUCUGCUGGGGAAUCAAUCAUUUGGUUAGAACCUACAUCAUUUAAACUGUUUUGGGGUUUCGUGGGUAUCCCGACACCUAUUGAUCAAUUCCAAAAGUGUGUUGGAAAUACAAACAGUUUAUUAGCACGUAAGUCGUCUGAUGGUUUGUAUUUUCAAACUCAAGUUGUCCGCUUGAGAAUCAGUGUUCAAACCCACUCUAUAUAUCUAGGAUAGAGCGAAACCAAAAUCCUAUUUCAGGCAUGAGCCUAGGACGACCCAAUACCCGAGCGGGGU